AUACAGAGAAUAUACCAGAAUGAAUAGUUUAAAACAAUGGCAUACCGUGGUUUAUUUCACUCUCAUUGUAAAUAAUUAUCUAGAUGGUUAACCUAAGUACUCGUGACUUAUUUUGAGUAUUUCCCAGUAGAUACGAGCAAGGUAUAUAGGAAAAGCAACUAUCCGAAAAUUUCGUUAAACAUUUCAGCGUUUAAAAAAGGGUGACAAGGAGUAAAUAAAAAAAAAAUGUUAAUUUGUUCGUGCAUUUUUAUCGACUUGUGAAGACGUCGUGGGAAGGGGAUAUACAAUUCUUGUGUUUGUCUUUGCUUGAGCUCACUUAAGUAAGUU